UGGAUCCAGACUUUGAUUAUGGCUCAGGACGAACGCUGGCGGCAUGCCUAACACAUGCAAGUCGAACGGAGUUGUUAUACAGAAGUUCUUCGGGAUGGAAGUAUAAGAACUUAGUGGCGGACGGGUGAGUAACGCGUGGGUAACCUGCCCUUUUGUGGGGAACAACUUCGAGAAAUCGGGGCUAAUACCGCAUAAUAAUAGAGAAUCGCAUGAUUUUCUAAGGAAAGAUGGCCUCUGAGAAUGCUAUCGCAAAAGGAUGGACCCGCGUCUGAUUAGCUAGUUGGAAGGGUAACGGCCUACCAAGGCAACGAUCAGUAGCCGGCCUGAGAGGGUGAACGGCCACAUUGGGACUGAGACACGGCCCAAACUCCUACGGGAGGCAGCAGUGGGGAAUCUUCCGCAAUGGGCGAAAGCCUGACGGAGCAAUGCCGCGUGAGUGAAGAAGGCCUUCGGGUUGUAAAACUCUGUCCUUAUCGAAGAGAGGUGGGUAUGUGAAUAAUGUACUCAUAGGACGGUAGAUAAGGAGGAAGCCCCGGCUAACUACGUGCCAGCAGCCGCGGUAAUACGUAGGGGGCGAGCGUUGUCCGGAAUCACUGGGCGUAAAGGGCGCGUAGGGGGUUUAAUAAGUCAGUGGUGAAAACUGAGGGCUCAACCCUCAGCCUGCCACUGAUACUGUUAGACUUGAGUAUGGAAGAGGAGAAUGGAAUUCCUAGUGUAGCGGUGAAAUGCGUAGAUAUUAGGAGGAACACCAGUGGCGAAGGCGAUUCUCUGGGCCAAGACUGACGCUGAGGCGCGAAAGCGUGGGGAGCAAACAGGAUUAGAUACCCUGGUAGUCCACGCCGUAAACGAUGGAUACUAGGUGUUAGUAGUUUCGAUGCUACUAGUGCCGGAGUAAACACAAUAAGUAUCCCGCCUGGGGAGUACGGUCGCAAGACUGCAACUCAAAUGAAUUGACGGA
rnacentral:rRNA from 1 species